GACGAACGCUGGCGGCGUGCUUAACACAUGCAAGUCGAACGGUGAACCAGAGCUUGCUCUGGGGAUCAGUGGCGAACGGGUGAGUAACACGUGGGCAACCUGCCCCAGACUCUGGGAUAACCUCGGGAAACCGAUGCUAAUACCGGAUACGACCACUUCGGGCAUCCGACGGUGGUGGAAAGUUUUUCGGUCUGGGAUGGGCCCGCGGCCUAUCAGCUAGUUGGUGGGGUAAUGGCCUACCAAGGCGACGACGGGUAGCCGGCCUGAGAGGGCGACCGGCCACACUGGAACUGAGACACGGUCCAGACUCCUACGGGAGGCAGCAGUGGGGAAUAUUGCACAAUGGGCGAAAGCCUGAUGCAGCGACGCCGCGUGAGGGACGACGGCCUUCGGGUUGGUAAACCUCUUUCAGCAGGGACGAAGCGAAAGUGACUGUACCUGCAGAAGAAGCACCGGCUAACUACGUGCCAGCAGCCGCGGUAAGCACGAGAGUA
rnacentral:rRNA from 1 species